GAUGAAGAACGUAUCGAAAUGCGAUACUUGGUGUGAAUUGCAGAAUCCCGUGAACCAUCGAGUCUUUGAACGCAAGUUGCGCCCGAAGCCAUUAGGCCGAGGGCACGCCUGCCUGGGCGUCACACGUCGUUGCCCCCCCAUCUACUCCUUCGGGAUUGCGGGGGGCGGAUGAUGGCCUCCCGUGCGCCUCGUCGCGCGGUUGGCAUAAAUGCCAAGUCCUCGGCGACGCACGCCACGACAAUCGGUGGUUGCGAAACCUCGGUGGCCCGUCGUGUGCGGUCGUCGCGCAUCGAGGGCUCGAAAAAAUUGCCGGGCUCCGGCUCGGCUUUCAACGCGACCCCAGGUCAGGCGGGGUUACCCGCUGAAUUUAAGCAUAUCAAUAAGCGGAGGA
rnacentral:misc_RNA from 1 species